UAAUAUGUACAUGCCUACAACACUAAUGUACCAUAUCCCAUUAGAAUUUCAUAGUUAAGCACAAUUGGGAUAUAGUAGUACCGGGAUGGGUGGCCUCCUAGGAAGUCCUAAUGUUUUAC
rnacentral:rRNA from 1 species